rnacentral:rRNA from 1 species
UGGGGAAUUUUGGACAAUGGGCGAAAGCCUGAUCCAGCAAUGCCGCGUGUGUGAAGAAGGCCUUCGGGUUGUAAAGCACUUUUGUCCGGAAAGAAAUCCUUGGCUCUAAUACAGUCGGGGGAUGACGGUACCGGAAGAAUAAGCACCGGCUAACUACGUGCCAGCAGCCGCGGUAAUACGUAGGGUGCAAGCGUUAAUCGGAAUUACUGGGCGUAAAGCGUGCGCAGGCGGUUUGCUAAGACCGAUGUGAAAUCCCCGGGCUCAACCUGGGAACUGCAUUGGUGACUGGCAGGCUAGAGUAUGGCAGAGGGGGGUUAGAAUUCCACGUGUAGCAGUGAAAUGCGUAGAGAUGUGGAGGAAUACCGAUGGCGAAGGCAGCCCCCUGGGCCAAUACUGACGCUCAUGCACGAAAGCGUGGGGAGCAAACAGGAUUAGAUACCCUGGUAGUCCACGCCCUAAACGAUGUCAACUAGUUGUUGGGGAUUCAUUUUCCUUAGUAACGUAGCUAACGCGUGAAGUUGACCGCCUGGGGAGUACGGUCGCAAGAUUAAAACUCAAAUGAAUUGACGGGGUCAUAGCUGUUUCCU